AACGCACAUUGCGCCCUUUGGCAUUCCGAAGGGCAUGCCUGUUCGAGCGUCAUUAUCAACCCUCAAGCCUGGCUUGCUGUUGGACCACGUCGUCACGGACGGGUCCCAAAGGCAGUGACGGAGUCGUGUCGGACCCGGACGCAACGAGCUUCACAGCACGCGUCCCGCGGGCCGGCCGCCUCCCGUCUGACCACCAAUUUUCACAAGGUUGACCUCGGAUCAGGUAGGAAUACCCGCUGAACUUAA
rnacentral:misc_RNA from 1 species